rnacentral:rRNA from 1 species
AUUGAACGCUGGCGGCAUGCUUUACACAUGCAAGUCGAACGGUAACAGGCCGCAAGGUGCUGACGUGUGGCGAACGGGUGAGUAAUGCAUCGGAACGUGCCCAGUCGUGGGGGAUAACUACUCGAAAGAGUAGCUAAUACCGCAUACGAUCUAUGGAUGAAAGCGGGGGACCGUAGGGCCUCGCGCGAUUGGAGCGGCCGAUGUCAGAUUAGGUAGUUGGUGGGGUAAAGGCUCACCAAGCCAACGAUCUGUAGCUGGUCUGAGAGGACGACCAGCCACACUGGGACUGAGACACGGCCCAGACUCCUACGGGAGGCAGCAGUGGGGAAUUUUGGACAAUGGGCGCAAGCCUGAUCCAGCAAUGCCGCGUGCAGGAAGAAGGCCUUCGGGUUGUAAACUGCUUUUGUACGGAACGAAACGGCUCUGGUUAAUACCCGGGGCUAAUGACGGUACCGUAAGAAUAAGCACCGGCUAACUACGUG